rnacentral:rRNA from 1 species
GUGGCGCACGGGUGAGUAACACGUGGGAACCUGCCUUUCGGUUCGGGAUAACGUCGGGAAACUGACGCUAACACCGGAUACGCCCUUCGGGGGAAAGUUUACGCCGAGAGAGGGGCCCGCGUCCGAUUAGGUAGUUGGUGGGGUAACGGCCUACCAAGCCGACGAUCGGUAGCUGGUCUGAGAGGAUGAUCAGCCACACUGGGACUGAGACACGGCCCAGACUCCUACGGGAGGCAGCAGUGGGGAAUAUUGGACAAUGGGCGCAAGCCUGAUCCAGCAAUGCCGCGUGAGUGAUGAAGGCCCUAGGGUUGUAAAGCUCUUUCGCACGCGACGAUGAUGACGGUAGCGUGAGAAGAAGCCCCGGCUAACUUCGUGCCAGCAGCCGCGGUAAUACGAAGGGGGCUAGCGUUGUUCGGAAUUACUGGGCGUAAAGGGCGCGUAGGCGGUCCUUUAAGUCAGGAGUGAAAGCCCCGGGCUCAACCUGGGAAUUGCUCUUGAUACUGGGGGACUUGAGUUCCGGAGAGGAUGGUGGAAUUCCCAGUGUAGAGGUGAAAUUCGUAGAUAUUGGGAAGAACACCGGUGGCGAAGGCGGCCAUCUGGACGGACACUGACGCUGAGGCGCGAAAGCG